ARDNWDCUARSBSAGCGCACGGGUGCGUAACGCGUAUAGAACCUACCUUUUCCUGAGGAAUAGCCUUUAGAAAAGAAGAUUAAUGCCUCAUAGUAUUGAGACUCGGCAUCGAGACUUAAUUAAAGAUUUAUUGGUAAAAGAUGGCUAUGCGUCCUAUUAGUUAGAUGGUAAGGUAACGGCUUACCAUGACUUCGAUAGGUAGGGGUCCUGAGAGGGAGAUCCCCCACACUGGUACUGAGACACGGACCAGACUCCUACGGGAGGCAGCAGUGAGGAAUAUUGGGCAAUGGAGGCAACUCUGACCCAGCCAUGCCGCGUGCAGGAAGACGGCCCUAUGGGUUGUAAACUGCUUUUAUACAGGAAGAAACACUGGUAUGUAUACCAGCUUGACGGUACUGUAAGAAUAAGGACCGGCUAACUCCGUGCCAGCAGCCGCGGUAAUACGGAGGGUCCGAGCGUUAUCCGGAAUCAUUGGGUUUAAAGGGUCCGCAGGCGGUCAAUUAAGUCAGAGGUGAAAUCCCAUAGCUCAACUAUGGAACUGCCUUUGAUACUGGUUGACUUGAGUCAUAUGGAAGUAGAUAGAAUGUGUAGUGUAGCGGUGAAAUGCAUAGAUAUUACACAGAAUACCGAUUGCGAAGGCAGUCUACUACGUAUGUACUGACGCUGAGGGACGAAAGCGUGGGGAGCGAACAGGAUUAGAUACCCUGGUAGUCCACGCCGUAAACGAUGGAUACUAGUUGUUGGGCAUAAUCACUAGUGGAGUCAR
rnacentral:rRNA from 1 species